rnacentral:rRNA from 1 species
GGCCUAACACAUGCAAGUCGAGGGGUAUAGUUCUUCGGAACUAGAGACCGGCGCACGGGUGCGUAACGCGUAUGCAAUCUACCUUUUACAGAGGGAUAGCCCAGAGAAAUUUGGAUUAAUACCUCAUAGUAUUAUGAAAUGGCAUCAUUUUAUAAUUAAAGUCACAACGGUAAAAGAUGAGCAUGCGUCCCAUUAGCUAGUUGGUAAGGUAACGGCUUACCAAGGCUACGAUGGGUAGGGGUCCUGAGAGGGAGAUCCCCCACACUGGUACUGAGACACGGACCAGACUCCUACGGGAGGCAGCAAUGAGGAAUAUUGGACAAUGGGCGCAAGCCUGAUCCAGCCAUGCCGCGUGCAGGAUGACGGUCCUAUGGAUUGUAAACUGCUUUUAUACAGGAAGAAACACUGGUUCGUGAACCAGCUUGACGGUACUGUAAGAAUAAGGAUCGG